rnacentral:sRNA from 1 species
UGAGAGAAGGUCAAUACAUUGGGUACA